GACGAACGCUGGCGGCGUGCUUAACACAUGCAAGUCGAGCGGUAAGGCCCUUUCGGGGGUACACGAGCGGCGAACGGGUGAGUAACACGUGGGUGACCUGCCCUUAGCUCCGGGAUAAGCCUGGGAAACUGGGUCUAAUACCGGAUAUGACUCCAUGACGCAUGUUGUGGGGUGGAAAGCCUUGUGCGGCUAGGGAUGGGCCCGCGGCCUAUCAGCUUGUUGGUGGGGUGAUGGCCUACCAAGGCGACGACGGGUAGCCGGCCUGAGAGGGCGACCGGCCACACUGGGACUGAGACACGGCCCAGACUCCUACGGGAGGCAGCAGUGGGGAAUCUUGCGCAAUGGGGACGAAAGCCUGACGCAGCGACGCCGCGUGAGGGAUGAC
rnacentral:rRNA from 1 species